rnacentral:rRNA from 1 species
UACGGAAGGUGCAAGCGUUAAUCGGAAUUACUGGGCGUAAAGCGUGCGCAGGCGGCUCCUUAAGUCAGAUGUGAAAGCCCCGGGCUUAACCUGGGAACUGCGUUUGAAACUGGGGAGCUAGAGUGUAGAAGAGGGGGGUGGAAUUCCAGGUGUAGCAGUGAAAUGCGUAGAGAUCUGGAGGAACACCGAUGGCGAAGGCAGCCCCCUGGGCUAACACUGACGCUCAUGCACGAAAGCGUGGGGAGCAAACAGG